AACGCGUGGGAUCGUGCCCUUCUCUAAGGAAUAGCCACUGGAAACGGUGAGUAAUACCUUAUACGCCCUUCGGGGGAAAGAUUUAUCGGAGAAGGAUCGGCCCGCGUUAGAUUAGAUAGUUGGUGGGGUAACGGCCUACCAAGUCUACGAUCUAUAGCUGGUUUUAGAGGAUGAUCAGCAACACUGGGACUGAGACAUGGCCCAGACUCCUACGGGAGGCAGCAGUGGGGAAUCUUGGACAAUGGGCGCAAGCCUGAUCCAGCCAUGCCGCGUGAGUGAUGAAGGCCCUGGGGUCGUAAAGCUCUUUCGCCAGGGAUGAUAAUGACAGUACCUGGUAAAGAAACCCCGGCUAACUCCGUGCCAGCAGCCGCGGUAAUACGGAGGGGGUUAGCGUUGUUCGGAAUUACUGGGCGUAAAGCGCACGUAGGCGGAUCGGAAAGUUGGGGGUGAAAUCCCGGGGCUCAACCCCGGAACUGCCUCCAAAACUAUCGGUCUAGAGUUCGAGAGAGGUGAGUGGAAUUCCGAGUGUAGAGGUGAAAUUCGUAGAUAUUCGGAGGAACACCAGUG
rnacentral:rRNA from 1 species